rnacentral:misc_RNA from 1 species
GAAAUGCGAUAAGUAAUGUGAAUUGCAGAAUUCAGUGAAUCAUCGAAUCUUUGAACGCACCUUGCGCUCCCUGGUAUUCCUUGGAGCAUGCCUGUUUGAGUAUCAUGAAAUCUUCAAAGUAAAUCUUUUGUUAACUCAAUUGGUUUCUACUUUGGUAUUGGAGGUCUUUGCAGCUUCACACCUGCUCCUCUUUGUUCAUUAGCUGGAUCUCAGUGUUAUGCUUGGUUCCACUCGGCGUGAUAAGUUAUCUAUCGCUGAGGACACUGUAAAAGGUGGCCAAGGUAAAUGCAGAUGAACCGCUUCUAAUAGUCCAUUGACUUGGACAAUACUUUUAUGAUCUGAUCUCAAAUCAGGUAGGACUACCCGCUGAACUUAAGC